UGAUGAUCCCCUCGAUUGUCCUCUCACGU
rnacentral:sRNA from 1 species